GUCAGCGUGUGCCAGCAGGUGUGUGGGGAUGUGGGUAUCAGCGUGUGCCAGCAGGUGUGUGGGGAUGUGGGUGUCAGCGUGUGCCCGCAGGUGCUGGAGGUGCGUAGGCAUGUACCAGUCUGUGUGUUCGUGCUGCUCUGUGUGUCUGCAAGGGAUGAGUGUCUUGGUGCAUCUCUGAGGGACUUGUGUGUCGCUGAGUGUGUGUCUGUGAGUCAGCCCCUCUGUGUCACUGUUGCUGUACUGUGUCAGUGUCUGUCUGUUGGUGGUGACCCAUGAAUUUCCCAGCCAGGGGAGACCAGGCAGGCUGGAUCCAGUUCAUCUCCCCAGUGGCAGCCUCACCCUCUGGGUCAGGGUGAUGGAGGCAUUUUGUGGCCUUAAAAUGGGGAGUCCAGGGUCAGCCCUCAGUGUGAUGGGGCCCUUCCAGCCCUGUCCCCUUUAGGUUGGUGUCUGGGGAGAAAGGGACCCGUGGAGCCAGGUGCUGUAUAGCAGUGGAUGGGGAGUCACCCCUGGGACCACAGACAGCCUCCUGGGGGUACUGAGUUAAGCCUGAAGACCAAGCCCCCUCCUCCUGGAAUGGUUCUCCGAGCUUUACUCUCUCUGGGACAGGCCUUUCACCUCCUUGCCAUUCAUUAUCCUUUUCCCUGUGCUCUGUGAAAGCUCCUAACUCAGGUUGUCAGAGCUGGGAUGGGCCUUGGAAGUCACAGCCCUCUAUGGUGCAAAUGAAGAAGUUGAAGCCCAGCAGGGGGAAGGGACUAGCCCAAGGUCACAUGGUCAGUUUGGGUAGAGCCAAUCUCAGAAGCCAGGUACUACAGCCCUGGGGGUGUUACACCACUGGCCACUGGCCCCAAGAUCUCUUGCCAGAUGGCUAGGGAGAGCUUGGUCAAAGUUCCUCAUCUCCAGGGUGCUGGUUGAGAUCUUACAGAUGUUCCUGGGAUCCUGCACUAGGAAGAGAUACUGUCUCUUUGUCCCAAAUUCUGGCCUCUCAUCCCGGCCACAGACCCUCCCACCUCCUGGCAGGUCUGAGUGCCACACAGAGGCUGUCACCUUCUGUCCACAGAAGGUAGCUGCUGCCCAUCCCUCAGGCUCCCAGAGAGAGGAAACCAUGUUUCCCCUUCUUUACCCCCUGUCUUCACAAGAGCCUGGGCUAGCAGGGAACGCCAGCGUGUCCUCAUGUCCUCAUCCUCUUGACUUCCCUCUAAGGACCAGGAGGGCUGGGAUGGGGGUACAGAAUCCUUCUAUGUUUUUCUCACUGGACUGUCCAAGGGACUGGGGGUUUAUUCUUGGGGUCUGUCCUCAGGAACGGGGUGGGUGAACCUGCUCUGUAGAGUCCCUGUAGAGUCACUGGUUGAGGUUGAGCUCCGGGUUCAGGGGAGCCCUCCAUGCUUUCACAGGCAGGGGACCACCCUCUUCUCUGUCCAGUCAGUGCUGUGUGUGUGUGCGCACGUGCGUAUGUGUGUGUUUGGGCAGUAGGACCAUUUUGUCCUGGGGAUCCCUUGACACUUAGAGCUGGAGGGGACCUUAAGGACCAUCUAAUCUGGUGCACCCACUGUACAGGUGAGGUCCAGAGAGAUGGCAUUUGCCCACCUCCAGUUCUUCUCCCUCAUGUCACCUACAUUCAUUUCCCAGGGGCCCUACUGGGAAUGUCCUCUCUCCUAGCACCUUCCUGCCCCCCUCUCAGCUGCCCACAUAAUCACCUUCUCAGCCCAACUCUGCCAGCCCUCUCUGCACCUGUGGUCUCCACGCAUCCUUCCUCCCCCAGGGUGGCCGGUUCACCAAGACCUUUAUCCCCAGGACAGGGGCAGGGAAGGAGGGGCUGCUCCAGCUCUGAGGCCUCAAAGACCCGGUAGAAAAGCCAAAACCCCUCAUGCCCAGGCCCAUACAUCUGACCACCCCAGCCCUCCCCACCACCAAGGUAAAAGCACAACAAGGAGACCCCUUAUUAACGGGUGAAAUGUAUUGGGGUUGUUUUUUUAGUCUCACAACCUCAUCCUCACCCCUUUGCCUUGCUCUCUGUCUCCGCCUGUCUCUGUUCCCCAUUUGCUCCUCUUUUACCCUCAAGUCCCCAAAUGUAACCUCUAGUUGCGGACGCGGUUGUUCAAUCAAUAAAGCUGCAGUGUUCUAGCA